GUGGGGAAUAUUGGACAAUGGGGGGAACCCUGAUCCAGCCAUGCCGCGUGUGUGAAGAAGGCCUUUUGGUUGUAAAGCACUUUAAGCGAGGAGGAGGCUACCGAGAUUAAUACUCUUGGAUAGUGGACGUUACUCGCAGAAUAAGCACCGGCUAACUCUGUGCCAGCAGCCGCGGUAAUACAGAGGGUGCAAGCGUUAAUCGGAUUUACUGGGCGUAAAGCGCGCGUAGGUGGCCAAUUAAGUCAAAUGUGAAAUCCCCGAGCUUAACUUGGGAAUUGCAUUCGAUACUGGUUGGCUAGAGUAUGGGAGAGGAUGGUAGAAUUCCAGGUGUAGCGGUGAAAUGCGUAGAGAUCUGGAGGAAUACUGAUGGCGAAGGCAGCCAUCUGGCCUAAUACUGACACUGAGGUGCGAAAGCAUGGGGAGCAAACAGGAUUAGAUACCCGAGUAGUCC
rnacentral:rRNA from 1 species